AACAGCACUCGCUGGCCGGUGUAAAUACGCAGAGAAACUCUUAGAACACUCUGUUGAGUGUUAUUAGUCACAUCCGGGACACUUGCUCGUGUGCGCGCUUGACCCAUCUGGAAUAUUUUUCACAGACGCCAUGUUCUUAGACUCGCGAUGCGGAGCAUAUGAGGACGGAAAACAGCGAAAUUAAGUGUUUAAUCUUAAUCACAAUAUGUGUUUUGUAAUAUCAUAUCGUUUUAUAGCGAUAUUUAUAAGGUGUGUGCGCUUAAACAUUUUUUAAAGACAUUUCUUCCACUCGCGAGGCGGACCAGACGAGGACGUUUCUUUUUAAAAAGGAAACGCCGAAAGUUAAGUGUUUUAUCUCAUUUGUAUGUAUUUCAUAACAUCAUAUUUAUAUAGCGAUAUUUGUGUGAUGUGCACUCCUAAACUUUUUCUCAGAGCGAUAUUUUCCUUCACUCAUGAUGCGGAGAAGACGGGGAAAUUGGUUUUAUCAUGGAAAACACCGAAAAUGCAUUUGAAUGGCUAUGCAUUGACGCGGAAGUCGCUUUUAACAGGGGAAACAUAAAGAGACAUUUUCUUUCACUGGUGAUGCAGAGCAGACGGGGAAGUUGGUCUUCUCAAGGAAAACACUUGAAUGGUUCAUGCUGGCUUAACAGAGAGAAGGAGAUGAUGUGCUUGAAGAGUAUGAAGCCACCAGUACAUUAAGUGGGAUGAGAAGAGCUUACACAUACCAGAGACAUGGGUGAGCCACAAUUGCAUAUUUUAAGAUUAUUGAUUGUCAUGCUUAAUUUUUUGAUUAUUAAACAAUAAUAAUAAUAAAGAGUCUGAUCUCCUUCUAAAAAUGUUUCUUAAAAAAUGCAUCAAAUGUAAGUUUUUGGUAUGCUUGCAUUAUUUAUUUUAUGUGCUGUCCCAUUUAUGUGCAUUCAUUUUGGUAGGAGGAGUCCAACUAUAAGUGAACAGUAACUUUUUACUUAUACUCAUGCCUUUCCACAGAUGCCAUGUACGACAGUUUCUUCUGUUGAUUAUUCAAAAUAUCUAUUUUUUGUGUUCCUCAGAAGACAGAAGGUCCUACAGGUGUGGAACCACAUGAGUAUAAAUAAAUGAUGACAGAAUUUUCAGUUUUGGGUUAACUAUUCUUAUAUUGUAUUUGACACUUGUCCCUGACAUUUCACCUGAUAAAUGGAUGUGAAAUAAUCCUUUUUGUUUUUUCUCCUAUUUUACCGGAGCACUUUUGUGAUGCUGCUAGUGGGAGUUGGGUAUCUUGCCUGGCUGAAAACUGCAGAGAAACACAUCUCGUCUUGCUGAAAACUAAAACUAAAAAUUGGUCCGCUUAUUCAUGUCUAGUGUAUGAGAUUCAAAGGCUAAACAUAAUUUUUUUUAAAUAAUCAAUUAAAAAUUUUAAAAACCUUACAAAAAUAUUGGUUAAAAUGCAUCAAUCGCACAUGGCUUUGCAUGUUAAAUGAUUUACAAGGUGGUGCAAACAUUUUUCAGUGUUUGCACCGCAGGACCUAUUUUAUUAUUGACCAUUUGAUAAGCAGUAUUCUUACAAUUCUGAUGACCGAAAUGGAUAUAUUGUGCCUUCUUGUCACUUAUUCUAAAAGUGAACUGUCAUGUUGUGAAGUGUUGACAUGUUAAUAAACAACUGCUUUGAGAGUUGCAGUGUAAUUGUGAUUAUUUAUUUUUUUUAAGUAAAAUCUGCUUACCUGUGACAAAAUGUGCUUUUAAAAAAAUUAAUUUAAAAGGUUUAACUUUUUUUUUUUUUUUUUUUAAUCUUCUGGCAGCUUUUUUUUUUUUACUUUCAACACAGAGGAGAGUUUUGUAAUGUUAACUCAAUACACUGGAGCUAAAAUAUCAAGAGUUAAAAUCUAUCUUAAAGGUGUUAAAUUGUAACUCUUUACACUGGUGUUAAGGAAAAAAUCAACACUCUGUGGUAUGGACCAGAGUUGUUUUUUAACUCUAUACCGUGUAAAUAUGACUCAUUCAUAGAGUUAAACAAGUAGCUCUAUGAAGAGUGUUAAUGUAACUCUGAAAAGAUUGGGACAAUAUGUACACUUUUUUGGAGUUGAUUUUAACUCUGUUAGAGUUGAAUUAACACUCAUAAUUUUGCUGUGUAGUAUUAGGAUUAUUGCUGUUGUUGUUGUUCAUAAAACCACAACAACAAUUAUUAUUGUAGUUGUUGUUGUUGUUGUUGUUGUUUUUGUUGUUAUAAUUAUUAUUAUUAUUUAAUAAAACACAUUUCAUACAAGAUUGUACCUCAAAGUUCUUUACAAAUAAACUGGGAGGAAAAGAAGAAAAUCGUGCAUGCAUAUUUAAAGAGCUC